rnacentral:rRNA from 1 species
AUACGGAGGAUCCGAGCGUUAUCCGGAUUUAUUGGGUUUAAAGGGAGCGUAGAUGGAUGUUUAAGUCAGUUGUGAAAGUUUGCGGCUCAACCGUAAAAUUGCAGUUGAUACUGGAUAUCUUGAGUGCAGUUGAGGCAGGCGGAAUUCGUGGGGGAGCGGGGGAAUGCUUAGAUAUCACGAAGAACUCCGAUUGCGAAGGCAGCCUGCUAAGCUGCAACUGACAUUGAGGCUCGAAAGUGUGGGUAUCAAACAGGAUUAGAUACCCUGGUAGUCCACACGGUAAACGAUGAAUACUCGCUGUUUGCGAUAUACGGCAAGCGGCCAAGCGAAAGCGUUAAGUAUUCCACCUGGGGAGUACGCCGGCAACGGUGAAACUCAAAUGAAUUGGCGGGG